UGGGCAACAUGGCCAACCGCCCAGGGAGGCAUCUUGUGGGGCGCCCCGACCCCUCUAUAGAACCCUAUAGAACAGUAAUAUCUCACAAGAGCUGCAAUUUUCGAGAUGUCAUCUCACCAUAAAGUUUGUUAAUGUCAAUUUCACUCAAAUCCUGAUGCUUGCCUAUUGUUCCUACUUGGAACAGAUGAAAUCAACUUAUUAAGAUCAGUUUGGGGAGCAGAUAAAAUUAUCCAAUAGUCUACUUAGUCAGUUCACCUAACUUUCACUGUCCAUCACAAUCCUUCAAACCCACCCUCCCUGACGUCACCUCAUCCCUCCUCCUGCUCCUUAUCCCAUCACCCUCAUCCCUACUUUCAAUUCUCAUUCUUCAUCCACUCCUCUUUGUUCCAGGUUGUGGUUAGAGAAAAGACCGUUGCUUGAAUACUGCACCCCCACACUGAGUCACCACCAUCCAAACCUUUAUCAGGAGUUCGUUCCCCCCACAUUCCCCUCAAUGACACAUCCCCACGUUCAAUCCAUCCAUCACCUCAACCCCUUUCUUCAAUUAAUCUUUAUACUCACUGUGGUUGUUGGUAGAGAAAUGACUUUGGAGGAAAACUUGUUCUCCUGCUGCUCAUUAGAUCCCACUCACUAACUUUUGCCACAAUGAAGAGAUAAUGUGUGUUAUUCACUGCAACUGUAACUGCUAUUAAUGUCAGGCCUUCCUUUGUUUUUCAACCCCCUACUUUCAGCUUUUCUUUCAACGAGUUUCCUUUCCUUCAAUGUUGUCAUAUUACACUCUUUGUUUUUAAGUGGUCGCUCCUUUUGUGUCUGCCUUUCGUUCUCUUGGCGUGGGGCUGUACAGCAGCACGGUUGGUAGAGAUGUUACCUUGCGGAAAAAAGUCCUAGGUUGAAAUUCCAGCCUGCGGUCUUUCUGCAUGCAGUUUGUGUGUUCUCCCUGUGCAUGUGUGGACUCUGUCCGGGUACUCUGCCUUCCUCCUACAGUCCAAGAACAUGACUGUUAUGUCAAAUGGUCUCUCCAAAUUGUCCUUAGUUAUGUGUGUGUGUGUGUAU